rnacentral:rRNA from 1 species
CACCGCGGAUAAACGACCUAGGCUCAAAUUGACAGCUUUCGGCACAAAGUGUGGUUAAUAAAACUAAAACUAAAGUCGAACCUUUUCAACGCCGUUAUAAGUACUUGAAAGAGGGAAGAUCAACAACGAAAGUGACUUUAAAAAUUAUGAACCCACGAAAGCUAGGGAA